CCUACGGGUGGCAGCAGUAGGGAAUCUUCCACAAUGGGCGAAAGCCUGAUGGAGCAACGCCGCGUGGGUGAAGAAGGUCUUCGGAUCGUAAAACCCUGUUGUUAGAGAAGAAAGUGCGUGAGCGUAACUGUUCACGUUUCGACGGUAUCUAACCAGAAAGCGACGGCUAACUACGUGCCAGCAGCCGCGGUAAUACGUAGGUGGCAAGCGUUAUCCGGAUGGAUUGGGCGUAAAGGGAACGCAGGCGGUCUUUUAAGCCAGAUGUGAAAGCCUUGGGCUUAACCGGAGUAGUGCAUUGGAAACUGGGAGACUGGAGUGCAGAAGAGGAGGGUGGAACUCCAGGUGUAGCGGUGAAAUGCGUAGAUAGAAGGAAGAACACCAGUGGCGAAAGCGGCUCUCUGGUCUGUAACUGACGCUGAGGUUCGAAAGCGUGGGUAGCAAACAGGAUUAGAUACCCGAGUAGUC
rnacentral:rRNA from 1 species